UUCCACUGCCCAUAUACAUAGGCUAGUCGAAAGAAUUGUGUGUUUGGUCAGUAGUUCAGUUGGUUGGUCACAUAUGUUGGUUUGCUGUUCAGGUUUGGUUUGUUGCAUUUUGUUUGGGUAUUUCCAACAUGGUAAAGAUGGUUUGUUGUUCCCAGUAUUUGUUUUGUCUGUCUGGGUAAGUUUCCUCCGUUCUGGCUCGGUCGGUCCUUGUGAUUUUGGUACUGGUUUUCUGUCCAAACCAUAUAAUCGCACAUUUUCUAAUCUUCCAUACGCUACACUAAUCCCUUUACAGAUUUCAUGAUACUUACUUUAUUCUAAUAAAUAACUUUAUCCCUUAUCAUGUGUGGAUCCCGAUCUUUGCUCUGACCCGAGCCUCGUCUUAAUGCAGCCAAGGAGAUGGAAGAGCGUUAUGAAUAAUUAUUAGAUGAUUGUGUUGUAGGCCUACAAUGAAAGACAGUAAAGAUUCAAUAUGAAUGGCAAAAUAAGGAUGGGAUUUUAUUUGAACAAUAAAAUAUGUGUUGGCCAAAUUAUAGAGAGGCUGAGAUUAUAGAUUUCAUAUUCAAAAGGCGAAGGGGUGAAAAAAUGUAAGAAAUAUAUUUAAGAAAUAUAGGCCUACUCAAAGCCCAAAUCAUUGAUAUCAUACCCUAUCCAAUAAUAAAGAAAUUUGAAUUUGAAUGGUAACAAUUCCGUUAAAUCCUCGUCCUCGUUUUGAACGUCUCACUCAUGGCUGAUCAGUGUGUUCUUUCUGAUUAGCUCUUAAUUGAGAUCACCUGUCACGCACCCCUUUAUUAAAGGUGAAAACAUUGGGUUUGGUUUACUUUUCGCAUCGGCCUGUGUCAAUCGAGGUUGAGUUUAGUGAGGGUUGAAAGUUUUCAAUCUAGAUUGCAGAUCACUCUUGUCACUUUAUACAAACUGAAAGUAUGCGUUGUUGCGUGUUUGUUUUUGUGGGCAUUUGACUGAACAGCCCAGACAAAUAUUGCUACCAACAUGGCACUUCGAAACAGACCACCGCAGUGUUAGAUGACUGACAAGAUCUAUGGGGGGGCCCCCUUUGGGCCCCCCCAUACCAACUUAGUCUUCAAAGGAAUCUAGUGCCAUGGGACUCCAGUGUCUUCAAAACAUCCUCGGAAUACAUGUGUAUGAAUGGUCCACCGAAGGGUUGAUCUGGAAGCCACCACGGUCCUCGCAGUAAUCUGCUGCGUGGGCCGUAGUGGCUUCCAGAGCCAUCUUUCGGUCUUGGUCAGGAUUUGUUACAGUUGCCAUUCAAUGUAGCAGGCUACGGGUUUCUGAAGAAGCCUGCUUUACGUAGCAUUGGAGUACAAAUAUUGUGCAAAAUGCUCAUGUAAUUGCACUAGCACUAGUAACCUGUAGAUUAGCUUAGUUUAACGUCAUUCCGUGCUGUCUCUGUCAAAUGUGUGGCUUAAUUUAAGUCCACAAGGCCCUAUGGUAAACCACGUUGGAACACCCCUGGACAAGGUGAUUAGUCACUGGGUGUGUGCUAAAGUUUUGUUCCAUUUUUCACUAGUUGGUUAAGGUUUGGUAGAAUUGUUUGGAUGCUAGCGACGUGAUGGCGUAUGUACAAGAGCCUACCGUGGCCAGGCCACAGUUGCGACGGUCACGGCCAGAUGGCCUAGUGUGAGUGCAACCUUGAUUGCAUUUGUAUACUGUUUACCAUUGGAUGUUUAUGCAAUUUGGCUUAAUUCAUCCGCAGUAAAGCUGCAUUUGACUAUUCCAGGGUAGUUUUGUACAGGCUUUCAAUUGACCAUGUUGACUAGUUUGUGGGAAGUUUUUUUUUUUUUUUUUUUUUUU